ensembl:lncRNA
CGAUAGAGAAAUUUAAGAAAUCCAUUAUACCAUACAAUCCUUCCCCCCCUUCAGAAUUCUUACUGAACUGUACUCGAGCUGACUUAUAACUAUUUCCUUCUCCAUGUUUUCCCAGCUUCCAAAUGAAAGGGCCGAGGAAUCUCAAUAAUCUAGCUGUGGAUUCUUUACCAUUGGAAGUGACAAAGAGCCCUGGCCUUGUUCCUUGAGGACUGAUGGAUGAAUGCAUUCUCAGAAUUGAUGUUUUGAGGAAUGUAGAAAAUUUUGAGUCUUUGGGGAAACAUUCCAAUAUACUCCUUUUGUCCGUUGCCCACUGAUUUUACGAUGAUGGCAGAUCUUGCAAGAGAAUAUAGAAGAUAACACCGAAAAUACCACAGUCCCUCAUAAAAAACACAGAUAACUUGAUGCUGGAGGCAGACCCUGUCUGAAGCCACUCUACAGCCACCAGAGCACUUAAUAGAACAUUGCUCAUUCCAAGAAUAUGCUCUACUGAGACCUAAAGCGAUCCAACAGGGAGCUGGCAAAGGCCUGGCAGGACUUCUUAGCUUUAAAUUACAAAACCAGCUGCAACGCCAUCAGAGCUGAGUGAGCUUUGAAGCAGUACAGCUGCAUUCACUGCGCUGCCCCACUGGCACAGAUAACCCAAAGCCGGGCUGAUUUGCACACGGAUAAUUGGGAGUCAGCUCUUAAACACAGCGGUGUGAAUAAUUCAUGAUUCGUUUAUUUAAAUGUCUGUGUCUUACAAGAGAGGAAUCACGUGGAUAAAAGCGAGAUUUCUCGUUUCGGUGUAAACGACCAGAUCACAAAACCUUACCGUGGCCUGAGGGCAAAAGGAGGCCCAGAAUAGCUGCGGAAGGGCAGAAGGUCUCAGGUAAGGCUGUGUGCUGCCGUAGCACGGCAGUGAGGCAAAGCCCAAGCCCAAGGCACUCACACCUGCCGCAUACAGCAAGUAUUGCUUCGUCUGCACAGAAUCAGAGACAGAGAGUGCUGUGUUGGCGUGGCAGGCAGAAACCUUGUGCGGGCACCCAGGAGCCCCGCAGCGAACUACAGCUCCCAGCAGAGCCCGGGGCCGGAAGCGGGGCGGGGCCACGCGGAUCCCCG